rnacentral:lncRNA from 1 species
CCAAGUGCGACCACGUCGCCGUCGGCACCGGCACCGUCACCCACAAGGCCGACAUCAAGAAGUUCCAGGCCGCCACCCGCCUCCGCGCCAAGGACAAGAUCGAGGGCGGCAAGAUCAUCCGCGUCGAGGCGCACCCCAUCCCCGAGCACCCGAGGCCGAAGAGGGUGUCCGGGCGCGUGACGCUGGUGGGCGACGCGGCCGGGUACGUGACCAAGUGCUCCGGCGAGGGCAUCUACUUCGCGGCGAAGAGCGGGCGGAUGGCGGCGGAGGCGAUCGUGGCCGGGUCGGCGAACGGGACGCGCAUGGUGGAGGAGAGCGACCUGCGCAAGUACCUGGCGGAGUUCGACCGCCUCUACUGGCCGACCUACAAGGUGCUCGACAUCCUGCAGAAGGUGUUCUACCGCUCCAACGCGGCGCGCGAGGCCUUCGUGGAGAUGUGCGCCGACGACUACGUCCAGAAAAUGACCUUCGACAGCUACCUCUACAAGCGCGUCGUGCCGGGCAACCCGCUCGACGACAUCAAGCUCGCCGUCAACACCAUCGGCAGCCUCGUCAGGGCCACCGCGCUGCGCAGGGAGAUGGAGAAGGUCACCUUGUGAGCCGCCGGCUGCGACGUCGUCGAGCUGCCGUUCACUUCAGGUGUUCGAGUCGCAGCUCAUCGAUCGGUGUAUUAGUAGAGGUUCGCGGCUGAUCAUGCAAGCGAGUUAAUUUAGGCCAGCGUGCGUAGGCACGGAGAGUUAAAAGACAGAGGGGUGGUGCAGGU